UCAGACAUAAAUCAAACCAUUUUACCAGAGCACUACGAACAUAUGUUUAAAACUCAAAGAACUUGGCGGUGCUCUAGACUCUUCAGGGGAACCUGUCUCGUAAUCGACAAUCCACGCACCAACCUCACCUUCUUUUGCCCUCAGUAUGUAUACCAUCGUCGCCAGGUAACUUUUAAAAACAAAGAAGUUAGCAAAAAAGCCCCUUAAGCUUUGACGUCAGAUCAAGGUGCAGCCCACAAGAAGGGGAAGAUGGGUUACAAUUAAUAUUUAUAAUCACGGAUAUUGAUCUCAACAUAUCUCUUGAAGGAGGACUUGAAAGUAAAAUCUAGUAAUCAAAUGUUUUGAAUUAAGCUCUGGAGCG
rnacentral:rRNA from 1 species